AUUGAACGCUGGCGGCAGGCCUAACACAUGCAAGUCGAACGGUAACAGGAAGAAGCUUGCUUCUUUGCUGACGAGUGGCGGACGGGUGAGUAAUGUCUGGGAAACUGCCUGAUGGAGGGGGAUAACUACUGGAAACGGUAGCUAAUACCGCAUAACGUCGCAAGACCAAAGAGGGGGACCUUCGGGCCUCUUGCCAUCGGAUGUGCCCAGAUGGGAUUAGCUAGUAGGAGGGGUAACGGCUCACCUAGGCGACGAUCCCUAGCUGGUCUGAGAGGAUGACCAGCCACACUGGAACUGAGACACGGUCCAGACUCCUACGGGAGGCAGCAGUGGGGAAUAUUGCACAAUGGGCGCAAGCCUGAUGCAGCCAUGCCGCGUGUAUGAAGAAGGCCUUCGGGUUGUAAAGUACUUUCAGCGGGGAGGAAGGGAGUAAAGUUAAUACCUUUGCUCAUUGACGUUACCCGCAGAAGAAGCACCGGCUAACUCCGUG
rnacentral:rRNA from 1 species